rnacentral:rRNA from 1 species
UACAGAGGUGGCGAGCGUUAUUCGGAAUUAUUGGGCGUAAAGGGCGCGUAGGCGGCCCUGUAAGUCAACGGUGAAAUCCCUCGGCUCAACCGAGGACGUGCCUUUGAUACUGCAGAGCUCGAGGCCGGGAGAGGGUAGUGGAAUUCCCAGUGUAGCGGUGAAAUGCGUAGAUAUUGGGAGGAACACCGGUGGCGAAGGCGGCUACCUGGACCGGUUCUGACGCUGAGGCGCGAAAGCGUGGGGAGCAAACAGG